rnacentral:lncRNA from 1 species
GUGGUCCUGAAAGUUAAAUGUUGUUUCUCUUCCUCUCAGAUCUUGAAUUGUGUAGACCAUGAAGGCUUGAAUAAAGACAGGUAGCAGUUAUAAAAAUAAGAGUUGAAAAAUGGAAGGUGAAAGACAAAGCUAAAGACAUCACCUGAAUUUCUGUACUCUGUCAUGUUUGAAGCCAGAAGCACCUUCUUGGAUUUUUGCAUCUAUAUAAGUCAGUAAAUUCCCCUGGGGGGGCUUAUUCUAGUGUCUUAGUCGACUUCAUGUCACUAUAACAAAACACCUGAGGCUGGGUAAAUUAUUUUUUUAAAAAAAGAUGUUUACUUAGAUCACAGUUUUAAAAGCUGAAAGUCCAAGAUCAGGUAGUCCCAUCUGGUCCUUCUGGUGAGGACCUUCUGGCUGGGUCAUAUCAUGGCAGAUGGUAUCUCAUGACAGGAGCUCAUGAGAAAGAGAUAGCAUGACAAGAAAAUAAGCAAGAAACCAGGGAAGAGUUAAGCUCACUCUUUUAUAACAACUGUCUCUCAUGAGAAUCAACUCACUCCUCACGACCAUCAUCAAUCCCUUCCAGAGAAUCAUGACCUAAUCCUCUCCCACUCAACCUUACCUUUUAAAGGUCCCACCACCUUUCAAUGUUGUUAUAUUGGGGGCAAACUUUAAUCUUAGUUUUGACAAAGACAAACCAAGUCCAAACCAGAGCAGUAGGAAUAUCUUUUCCUUGCCACCUAAAGUGUCUUAGCUAAUUAAUAUCACCACUGUGUUAUUGAAGGUUUAACUCCUCAUUCCAUGAUUGUGAAUAUUAGCCACAGUAAAAACCCAAAACUAAAAUUUAUAUUCUCAGAAUCUGAAUAUCAUUGCUAAGUAGAAUAUCCUACUCAUUCUUCAGGAAAAUGAAUUUACUAUAUGGACUUUUCCUUGAGGUCAUACAAUUCAUCCGAAUCCAAGUCCAAAGUAAAAGUAAUCUCCUAGGCUUUUUCUUUCUUUUAAAAAAUUUUGCUGGGCUGGGGUUGUAGCUCAGCGGUACAGCGUUUGUCUUGCACGUGUGAGGAACUGAGUUCAAUCCUCAGCACCACAUAAAGAUAAAUAAAUUAAAUAAAGGUAUUAUGUG